UACCCGGUGGUGUAAUUGGUAACACAGAGGCUUUUGGUGCCCCCAUUCUAGGUUCGAGUCCUAGCCGGGUAG
rnacentral:tRNA from 1 species